UCACAGAACCUUGUCACCAAGAUGCCCAGACU
rnacentral:piRNA from 1 species